UUCACAAUAUUUACCUUUACCUACCUUGCGUUUCAGUUACGUUAAAAAUUAUAAGAAUAUUUUUUUACAAAAAGCCGAAUGGUAAUAAUAUAAUAAUAUGGCGCAUAACUUAGACAAUAUACAGUUAUUAUUGGAUAGCAAAGAUGUAAAAUGUUCUCAGUCUUGGACACGUGUAUCUGUGAAUCUCGAUCAAUACUUUAGUGAUGAGCGAGCGCGCUGUUACGUGUUGGCCCCAAGAUCACGUCCUGUUCUUUGGUUGGAGCGCAGGUUGAGAACGCUGUUUUCCUUAACCGGCGACUUUUGGCUAGUUUCUCGCGGACACCUGCUCCCUCCAGAAGAGCUACUAGCGAUACUGGAACCCGGCGACCCCGUAGAAGUAAUACCAAAGUCCAAUACUGGUAAAGUAGUAUUAAAUGGGAGGAAUUGUGGUCCCUCUGCAUUUACUAAUGAUGAACAUGAUCAACUUGUUGAAACCACAAAUGGAGUAGAUACCUUGGAUAACACAAACAACAACACCCAAAGACACGAAAACAAUAUAAAUAAAGACAGUAUGGUAUUAAAUGAAGAAAAUGACAAUGAGAAACAGCUUCCUCAUCCAAAUCACGAUAUGAAUGAAGAUAAUCAAUUAGAAACACUGAAAAGUGAAGCAAUUGCCCUUCUAGAAAAAAAAUAUCUUGAAAGUGGAGAUUGUAAUGCUUCAUGUGAUAACAGUAAUAUUACAGAUAUUAACCAUGAAACAGAGUACAGUGUUCCAAAACGAGUCAGACGGCGUGUACGGCGUAGGAAGAGACCUGCUUCUGACAAUUAUAUAAUAAAUGCCAGUGGCCCCGAUUCUGAUAUAUCAGACAUAGUUCAAAUAAACCCAAUGUCAACUCCGCGACCACCUCGUGUAGUGGCUGCUUUGGAUAGCUAGGUUUUCUUAGCAAUGAAUAUCUUUUUGGCCUCGGAUUGUCUAUACUAUCUGAUUUAUUUAUUAAUAUACUUCAAAACAUUUACUAAGCUAAUCUUUUAUCAUUGCUAUUUUCUGACAGUUUCUUUUGUACAUUAUUUUCUAUUUUUUCUCCUGCUAUUUUCUAUCAGUGCCACUAAUUCUUUCAUCUUAAUCUUACUUAUCUUUUAUUUUCAUUUCUAUAUCCAAUAUUUCUUGGGUAUGUUUGAGUAAGUUGUGAUACUAUUAAAUUAAACUUUAGGAUCACAUGUCACUAAGUAUAUAUUUUCCAAUUGUUAUUAAGUAUAAAUGUAAUAUAACUAUUUUAAUAAUUAAUUGCAUUUUUUACAACAACAAGGAAGUAAAAAUUCAAAAAAUAAAUCCAAGUUAUCUUCUAAUAAUGUUCAGUAUCAAAACCAACUUCAUACUCAAGUCUUUGUGGCUAACAGAUACAUAAUAAUUAUGAAGUAGAGCAUACACGUUUUUAGGUUUAAUCUAAAAGAAGAGGCCACAACAUAGUUUUGCAAUAAAUUGUAUAUAAUAUGUUUUAAGACUGAAAUAAAAGUCAUUAUUUUAUUAUAACUAAAUAAAGAUUUUUUU